GUGAAUUUUAGGGUGCUCUUCUCCUUCUUAACAAAGGGAAGAGGCCUGACCUCCACUCUCCAACACUGUGCACUUAUCGGCAUUAGGAUUUUUUUGGCAAUAGACUUAACGUCUUGCGCCAGCUCUUCCUUUUGCGGCUUUAUUUUAACACUUGUCAAAGAAUGUAACAAAAACCAUAACAAAAAA
rnacentral:misc_RNA from 1 species